AUGCCUCGUACCGCCAAUAAAAAAUAUGAAGAUGUUUUACCUAAACCAAAAGAUGCAGGCAUUGUAAAACGUGGUCGUGGCAGACCCCCAGGAUCCAAAAAUACUUUCGUAGAUCCCCAAAAAUACUUGUGUAACAAUGCAGAGAAAUUGCCCACUUCAGCACAAGAUGAUUGUGACAUGACAAAAACUAAGACAGACAGUGAGAUUGAACAGGGUAAUAAGCACGAACCAAAUACACAGCAGGAGAAAGGCUCAACAGAAAUUAAAGAAGCAGAUGUUAACAGCAAUUUGGCACAGACGACCCCAAAUUCUCACUUAAAAUAUGAAGUUCAGGCGAAGGGACCAAGUAUCCUUGAUCAAAUUUUCCAUCAGACUGUUGAAAGCCUCGCUUGUAGGAGUUCUCUGAAUAUUGAUCAGCAGCUAACAUCAAGUCUGGGAGACACGUCUUUUAGCCUUCAGAAAUUCAGAGGGAAAAGUGAGAAUAGUAAAUUAGUAAUGAAUAGCAGUGAACUGAUCGAAAAGGGCAUUUGUGGUAAGAAAAAAGUAGAGACUUCUCUGCUGAGAAACGAGAAGGAAGAUAUGAAGGUAUCUGACAACCAAGUAAGGUCACCGUUGUCGUGUGGAGACAUGCCAGAUAACGUGAAAUGUUCGGUUAAAUAUGGAGAAACUGCCACUGAGGAGAACUUAAGUAGAAAAGCCACUGUGUUACAGAAUACUGAUUCCCAAAAUGAGAUGGGGAAAGACAUUCAGGACAGAGCGCCUGAGAUUUCUGUCCCGUUAACAGCUGAGGAGGAUAUAAUGAAGGAAAAUAUGAGGCUGGCUGAUGAUAUUGAUGAUGCUGAUCAUGCUGUGUCACCCACAAAGAAAGACUGUGUCGGUUCUUUCAUUGAAUUGACAGUGUUGGAGGGAAUAGCAAUGACGUUCUGUAUGAAUCCUGAUAGAACACCAGCAGAACAUCUCAGAGAUGAACAGAACUCUGAAGCUACAGUUUCUAAUGAGUGUUCAUUUGAGGUGACAUCAGACGAAGAUGUUCAGGCAGCACAUGGUGUUAACACCCAGGAGGAUAAGGGGGUGGCCGACUCUUUAGAGAAAGAGGAGGAUUCUGGUAGGAGCAAAGAGGUUCAGAUGAUUGAAGAAACUAUGGAAGGAGAAGAAACUGAAUUUCUGAGGGCAAAUGAAUUUGUAGAGGAAAAUGCGUUGCUUGCUUCAUAUGAUGGCUGUGGGGAAACCACCAGUGGUUGGGAUGAUAAUGAUGAAAUUAAUGUGGAGGGGGACCAAUACAGUGUUGAGAUGAUUGAUGGACGGACCCUUCUGGGGGAAGAUCAGUUGAGUAAAGGACACAUUGCAAGUGCUAAGACUGCAGAAGAUGCAUCAAACAGAGCUCUGACACUUAGAAACACACAGGAAAUAAUAAGCAGAGAUGAUGCUUCUGUCCAGACUGGAGUAUCUUUCACAGCCCCAAAGUGUGCAGUGAAGAUAUCUUAA
ensembl:lncRNA